CCUACGGGAGGCAGCAGUAAGGAAUAUUGGUCAAUGGGCGAGAGCCUGAACCAGCCAUGCCGCGUGCAGGAAGACAGCCCUCUGGGUCGUAAACUGCUUUUAUUCGGGAAUAAACCUACUUACGUGUAAGUAGCUGAAUGUACCGAAGGAAUAAGGAUCGGCUAACUCCGUGCCAGCAGCCGCGGUAAUACGGAGGAUCCAAGCGUUAUCCGGAUUUAUUGGGUUUAAAGGGUGCGUAGGCGGCCUGUUAAGUCAGGGGUGAAAGACGGUAGCUCAACUAUCGCAGUGCCCUUGAUACUGAUGGGCUUGAAUGAACUAGAGGUAGGCGGAAUGUGACAAGUAGCGGUGAAAUGCAUAGAUAUGUCACAGAACACCGAUUGCGAAGGCAGCUUACUAUGGUUUUAUUGACGCUGAGGCACGAAAGCGUGGGGAUCAAACAGGAUUAGAUACCCUGGUAGUCCACGCCCUAAACGAUGAACACUCGCUGUUGGCGAUACACAGUCAGCGGCUAAGCGAAAGCGUUAAGUGUUCCACCUGGGGAGUACGCCCGCAAGGGUGAAACUCAAAGGAAUUGACGGCUGNGAGNGCGACGACGACGACGAGGGAGGAGG
rnacentral:rRNA from 1 species